CCGCUGGCCGGGGCGGCAGCGAGCUGGGGGCGGGGGGAGCCGAUUCCAGCCCCUGCCUGGCGUUUCCCGGAUCCCUCCGAUUCCCGUGGGUCGGUAAGGGGAUAGGAAAACCCUGAUGCUUCCCAGCCAGCGUCGUCUCGAAGAGCACGGUCUCCCGCUGCCGUCGUGGCUGCCUGCGGUGGGACGUGCUGAGGGAUGAAAGCCCGCCUGGGCGUCUCAUACCAAGGCGGGACCUGAGUGAAUUUGCCGCUGCUGGGAGCCGCCCGAGACGCCGACCAGGAAAAUGUCUGAGGUCAGAUCUUGGUGCUGGUGGCAUGUGGCGGUGACCUAGACGGCAGCAAGUACCCUGUGUGCAGCACACUGAUCAAAAUAGCCCUCAUCGCUUGAAGCUCAGCUGUGCUGGUGGACGUUUGCCACUUGAAGUGAAGCUAUCCUCCAGUGUGUCAGAGGAAGUGAGAAGGAAAGGAUAUACUCUCAGGAGCCAGGUUAUGAAUCAAGAGAAGAUUACUCCUUCCUGAACUUGGCAGGCAACCAAAGGAAGUUCUGAAGCAGAGGAUUCAAACAAUAAAGGGCCUGGAUAACUUGCGCAAACAUCCAUACCGCUGAUGAACUGUGCAAGAGGAGUGUUCGCUAUUUGUGUUUCGCUUUCACACCACCUACCUCGGUAGUUAACUGGUCCCCAUUACUUCCCACCCAGUGAUUCACAUCAGCAAGUACUGGCGUCCCCUGCCUGCCUUGCAGCAGCAUCUGUGGUGCAGUGGGCAAUGUGAGGAACAGAGUCUGUGGGGAUUUUGGCAAAAGGGAGCAGUGCAGAUGAGAGGGAGCACCAGGACUCGCUCUGGUAGCUGAGCUCCCUGUGGAUGUUCCCUGACUAACUUGCCAAUAUCUGCAUAAACAGAGAAGGAGCAAAGAGCUCUUAGCCUUCUGCCCGGGCCUGGCUGACAGGAACAAGAGCUGGGAGCAAUUUUAGGGCCCUGCGGUAUGAGCCCCAACCCGAAGACCUGGCCAGAGCUUCCCUGACUCUGCUCCACUCAAGAACAACAUGUGCCUUGUGUUUCCUAGCUUUGCUUAUCAGAUCUCCAGCCAAAAUGAAUGGCCAAAUCUCUUACAAACAGAGAAAUUAAAUGAAAACAACACCAGUGCCAAGUUCUUUGCAAACAGAGAAGUGAAAUGAAAAACGCCAGUCGCUGUAGGUUCACCCAGCACAUUGAAUUAUUAUCUGUCAUGGCCUGUUCUUACAUUUGUCCUUUCCCUGUGGUUGAUAAAUAAGACUUCCCACAAGUUCUGAAGCUGUAUCAGGAGUUGCGUAGCAGAUAAUGUUAAUAAAUCUUAGGGGCUAUCUCUCUGACUUGCCUGGCAGCCUAAUAGCUCAAAAGUCUUGCAGUUUCUAAUGUCUUGCUUUUUUUAAACGUGUAACUUUGAAAUCUUUCUUUCCUUGACCACAGGCCCAAAGGCCAGGUUGAUAUGGACGUGACUGCAAGUCCUGAUUUUCAAGGCAAGACCUCUGGGCUGAUGCACCAUAAUUUUUUGCCCAGAGUUUGUGCCUUCAUCUGGAACGUAGGUGCCAUUCCAGUGUCGGUGCAAUUUGGAAGCAGGGUGCUUCAUGGCCUGUGCAGCCCCGGGGUUUGGUACAGCUCAAUGCAGCAGUCAAAGAGCAAUCCUCUUUGUCAGCAGAUGCACUCACUGCUGCCAAGAAACAAAAAUCCUGUCUCUUAUGAAGGCCAGGCCUUGGAGGCACCAUCUCUGGCUUGCUCCACUCUGCCCUCCUGCCUCCUUUGCAAGCAGUAGAGAAAUGGUCUCCUCCAGCCAGGGUCAAAGGGUGAGUUGCAUGAAUUACCUUACAGAGAUGUCCGUCUCUCCCUGUUGAAGGGGCCCAAGGGUGGUGAAAUAAGACUUGGACAUCUAGACACUUGAGAUGAAAUGAAGUCCAGACAUGGGACAAAAAAAAAAAAAAAAAGAAGAAAAUACAAUCCUAGGUCAUGCUUAACAAGAUUCUUCCUAGGCCACUUUGAAUUUUUUGCUUGGAAGCAGACCCCUGUGAGACAGGGCUUAGGUGCCCAGGUGCUGGGAUGAAGAGCAUCUUUCUUUGUUCAGUAGUUUCCAGUCGACCAGCUCCUCAGUUCACCUGACAUUUUCUCAUUGCAGCUUGGCUGCUGCUCACUCUGCGCAAUUUCCACAGGAGAGGACUUUAGCUGAAAACUCGCCAGUUCCUCCUCCACCAGUCCUCAUGGAGCAACAUGCUCCAGCUGUCUCAUAGGCUGCAUCAGGGUCUGUUUCUACCUUCUUCUUGUCUGCUGGGCACCCAUCUGCAAAAUUCUGCCUUACAUUUUGUUUGCAUGCUGCCAGGUCCCUUCUGUGUUAUGUUUCUAACGUCCCAGUGUUGCCCUGUGAGCACUGGCCACCAAUACCUUUCUGCUCAAGGCUGGGUUUUCCCUUGUUGAAAGACCUCUUGAGCAACAGCACAUCAUGUUUUGUGGCUUCUUGGUGGAAAAACUACUUUAUGCACAGAUUCAGGUUUUAGAAAUGUGCUUGAAAUAAUUCAUAUUUCUCCCAUCUGCCGGUGUUGUGGGAAUUAUAUCCCAGCUGGUUCUGCAGCUCAGUGCGUAAGGGACUAGUCAUCAGCUUAAUAGCAAAGCUGAGAAAUGCAUGGUUGGCAGAUGCAUUCUGAAGACUAUCUCUCUGAGUCUGCUGAACUCACUUGGAAAAUCUCUUCCAACAGAAACCCAGAUGCCUAUACUGCUGCUGGUGUGGCUGUGUCAUCUGGAAACUAAGUGGCAUCAAAUAGGAUGGGCAUUUUUGUUCCUUUUGUAAUGCUUUUUGCAAUAUCUACUGUGGCCUCAGAUGUCUGCAGAGAGAGUUUGUCUGUGACUGUCUCCUGUGCUUUGACAGUCUGUGCCUUUGUCACAGUCCUGCACUGGAGGACACUGGAGGACACCCAGGCAAACCACUCCUUUCUUGCCACAGUCUGAUUUGUUUCCUAGGGCAGUUCAGCUGUCUGUGCAAUCAGGCAUAUUUACCUGGAGAUAGAUUUGCUUCUCCAAACCACUUAUACCUUAAAGGUGAAAUUACAUGCCCGACAAAUAUCUUGUCUUUAAAUAGGGAAACUUUUCCGCUUCCAAUGUUACAUGUGGAUGCCAGAGUUUUGCAGUCCCCUAUUUCUGCUUUUUUGUUUUGAAUUGAAAAUGGUAUCCAUCUCCUGUCUCCUCCUGGCUGGAGCUACAUUGUUCAUCAGACAUAUUUAUUAGCUUGUCUGGUGGCUUUGCUAUUAUUUCUCACUGAGUUUUCUCACUUCCUCUAGUUUUUGUUCCUUGACAAAAUAACAAAAGCCUUACUUUUGCUGUCUCAUUUUUAUCCCUUCUCAGCUUCUCCUUAUCACACUCUUCUCUUGUUUCUAUUAUGAACACACUACAGCAAGGUCUUCUGUCUGCAAAUCCAGUAUUUGUGCUCUGAGUCUGUCUGUACAGCAUGUCUGGGGUCUUUCUAGGUGUGGCUUCAUUUUCCUCUCAUUUCUUAAAGUUGGUCUCGCUAGACUCUGGUGCCCAUGUUCAUGUGCUGCUGCUUGCUAAGUGUAUGAAUGGACUCCAUAUUUUAAAUACUGAAUCUGUGCAUUAAGUACUUCUGAAAACAGUCCAGUUCAGUUAGCAGCCCAGCUCUGGGUAAAACUCUAUCCUUAGAGAUAUCCUCUAUCCAUUAAUUGCUCUUUUCCUUCAUCCACAUUUUUUUUAAGCUUGCUGCAGCGGGGAUUACUGUUAGCAGGGAAGAAAACUGCAGGACUCUACCUAAUCUCCAGAUUGUGGGUAACCCUCCACUGAAUGCCAGGAGCAGCCCCAAGGAACAGGACAGGCUGAGCAAUUGGACUGUCUUUGCCCAUGUGUCAGGCAGCCUGUGCAGCUGGGGUCUUGGUGUCAUUUCCUGACUCCACACUGCAAGCUGAAUGUCUUCGGCUGGGCUGAAGAUGGCACCAGUUGCCAUCUUGUGUCUGGUUCAAUAUAGCAAGACACCCAUGCUCAUGCAUGCACACAUUCGCAUUUAUAACCAAAAUGUUCAGGUUCCAGACUCUUUUGGUGGUAUUUUCCCUUAUUCUAAAGUAAGGGCGACAAUCACAUCUUGUUCUUUUUUUUUUUUUUAUGGGAAGCAUGACACAGUUUCACCCCUAAAAUAGUGUGUUCUGUAUUCCCACAUGCAUCAAGUAUAGCUGAUGGAGAAAUCUGGAAGAGCUGGAGAUCCCUAUUCUUUAAUUAAAUAGUCAUAUCAAUGGGCACAUAGGAAGACAUUGAGUAUUCCUAUGAUAUAAGUAGUAAUCUCCCCUCAGAGGCAGCAGUGAUGUUCCUGCUCUCCUGAUUCAUGGCAGCUGAUUCUGAAACCACCAGAUUAGUGUGAAUGGUGACACAUCCAGCCAGCCACAGGGGCACAUCUAACAUGGGAAACAAGCCAUCCUCCGUCCCGUUGGUCAGGGACUGAGGGGGCUGGUGGUAAAUGGGAACUCCCCAGUGGGCUCUGUGAGGGUGAUCGAAGGCCUCCUAGCUUUGCAAUGUCUGCAUGAGCUCACAUGGGGGAAUGGUUUUGCCCCUAUUCGGGCACUAAAGUUAGAUAGCUCUGUCCACAAAACUCAUUUGGUUUCCUGUACACAAAAGCAGAAGGUGUUUUAUACCAUUCUCAGCCAGCCUGCCUAGAGGAGCCUGUUUUCUUCCAUGGACUUUAAAUAGAGCCUCAGGCAACUGGUUCAGACACGCUGUCUUGCUCUUAAGUCCAUGAAUGUAGCAGGCAUGUGUCCGCCCAGGAUCUUCUCUGCACCCUUCACACCCUGUCAUGAUCUCAGUGUGCUCCUCGUCCCAGAGAUGGCAGUCAGCUACCAGUCUUGUUUCUGCUUGUUUCUGCGAGUAAGCAUGGGGAUGGAUGCUGCUUUCUGAUCUGCCUUCCAUGCACAUACUUCUUGGGCAUCACAGUGCAGUGGCAUUUUGUAAUAAUCAAAACCGUGCAUGUCCUAGAUCCAUAUUACAGCUUCCUAGUGAUUUAUUCGAGCAGCAUAAAGCUUUUAUUACUCACAUGCUUUGUAACAGAGAGUCCUUUCCAUUAUUAUGUUUUUUUGCUUUGGAGCACAUGAAAACAUGUUAAGGACUCAAUAGACAUUGAGAAAACCAGCCUUUUUUGAAACACUUCAAUUUUAAAUAAAGAUGCAUGGCAGCAGACUGGUGCCAGAACAACAAAGAUGACAGAGAAUAGCAAAACAACAAGACUGUAAGGCUGCUCACAGUGUGUGUACUUGUAAUUAAGUCGCCCUUUGUGGUCACUUUAUAAUAGUCUCAGAGUCCCAGGAGUACUGGAGGAAUUUUCAGUUCUCCUUAGCUUGGAGAUGGAAUGACCAGAGGCACCUCCACCACCUUCAUCAUCUCUGAAAGGGGAGCUACCCUUGCGAGCUGGGUGGGUGAUUGACUGGGAGACCAGAAUCUGUCGUUUGGCUUGGGUUGGUGAAUCAAAUGAGAUGGCAAUAGGCCAUCAAAGGAUACUGCCCUUCCGUAGGUUUUCUCAUGAAGGCUGUGGUGCUCAAGCUCAGGGAUUUACAGGGUUCCUCUUUUGUAAUACUGAUGUUAGAAUUGUUCUCAUAUCAAAUAAAUCAUUGUUAAAUACAGCCACAGUCCAGGCUGCCAUGAAAUAUUCACCUUUGUUUAUUCUGAAUUUCUGACCUUUAAUUUGAUCAACCUUUUUUUUUUUUUUUUUUUUUACAUUUCACUAGUAUGUGGUAUCACAUACCUGGGAUGCAGGCAAGUUCCCCACGUAGCUUGAGCAGAGGGGAGAGAAUCCUUGAAUCCUGUAUACCUUUGCUUCCCCUGGGAAUAGGGGCUGUGAGCUGCAGGACGUUGCUCCCCUAAGCCUCAAGCAGAGCCACUGAUUACCUGCAAGGGCCAGUGGAGAGGAGGCUGCUGCCCUCACAGAGCACCUUUGUGGGGCCAAGGCUGCUGUCCGUGGAAAUGGAGGGGUGGGAGAGCCACUGGUUUCGUCCCUGGUGUGCUGCAGCAUUUCUCUGAGGAACAUCUCAAAGGUCUUCUACCACCUCCUCCUGGAGCGCACGUGGAGCAGUGUUUCACCCUUCACGUGUAGCCUCUGCUACCCCUGGCCCCAGGUCAGCCUCAUCCCCAGUGAACACAGAGCAUGUGUGAACGUACACCUCGGCUUCCUUUCCUUUCCUCUCCAGCCCUUCUGUUUCUUGGUGGGUGCUUCUCCCCUCCCUCUGGUGAAGCCCAUUAGUAGGCCUGGGCUGGCUCCCUCCUUCAGCUCCUUGGGAUCUUCCUUUUCUCCUCUUAAUUUAACCCUACUCAACAUUUUUAGUGAGCUUCUGUGCAUGCAGCAGCUCCUGGAUCCACCAGUCCCUCAAUGCUGGGGAAGGUGUCGACAUUUCCCAUCUCUCCUUCCUCUGAACAAGCCUCCCCCUUCCCUCCCACCGCUCCGCUUUUCCCCUCCUUCCAAGGGAUCCUCCUGGGCAGCCACCUCCGUACCGGGCAGGAGCCGGGGAAGGGGGAGCAUUGCCAAGGCGGCGGUGUGCCCCCGGGCUUUCCCCGCGUCCAUCGCUCCUGUGGCUGGGGAACGGGCACAGCCUGGCUGCAGUCUCCGCUCUUGGAGGACCUCAUUAAAGGAAGGUGAAAGAUGCUGACAAAUACAGUGGGCCCUAAAGCCCACAACAGCCUCCUUGCUUUCAGGUUGUUGCGAAGAAGACAACUUAUCCCAGAAGCUGCGAAUACCAGGGGGAAUGUGUAAAUAAACAACCGAGAAAACAUCCUUUUCCUGCUUGGCUCUACAUAUUUCUGGUGCUGGGUGAGAGGAACAAAGAUGUCUUAUGGGUGAGGGAGACACAGCAUUUGCUACACAGGAAAGCUCUUGCAAAAUAAAUUAAGGCAUGAAUAUAAAAGAGCUGUAGUAUUCCUCUCUGAUUCACUGAAGGGGGGGGGGGGGGUAACAGGGACU